rnacentral:rRNA from 1 species
AACGAACGCUGGCGGCAUGCCUAACACAUGCAAGUCGAACGAGCCCUUCGGGUCUAGUGGCGCACGGGUGCGUAACGCGUGGGAACCUGCCCUUAGGUUCGGAAUAACUCCCCGAAAGGGGUGCUAAUACCGGAUCAUGUCUUCGGACCAAAGAUUUAUCGCCUUUGGAUGGGCCCGCGUUGGAUUAGCUAGUUGGUAGGGUAAAAGCCUACCAAGGCGACGAUCCGUAACUGGUCUGAGAGGAUGCUCAGCCACACUGGGACUGAGACACGGCCCAGACUCCUACGCGAGGCAGCAGUGGGGAAUAUUGGACAAUGGGCUGAAGCCUGAUGCAGCAAUGCCGCGUGAGCGAUGAAGGCCUUAGGGUUGUAAAGCGCUUUUAACCGGGAUGAUAAUGACGGUACCGGGAGAAUAAGCUCCGGCUAACUCCGUG